rnacentral:rRNA from 1 species
GACGAACGCUGGCGGCGUGCCUAAUACAUGCAAGUUGAGCGCUGAAGGUUGGUACUUGUACCGACUGGAUGAGCAGCGAACGGAUGAGUAACGCGUGGAGGAUCUGCCUUUGAGCGGGGGGACAACAUUUGGAAACGAAUGCUAAUACCGCAUAAAAAACUUUAAACACAAGUUUUAAGUUUUGAAAGAUGCAAUUGCAUCACUCAAAAGAUGAUCCCGCGUUGUAUUAGCUAGUUGGUGAGGUAAAGGCUCACCAAGGCGAUGAUACAUAGCCGACCUGAGAGGGUGAUCGGCCACAUUGGGACUGAGACACGGGCCCAAACUCCUACGGGAGGCAGCAGUAGGGAAUCUUCGGCAAUGGACGAAAAGUCUGACCGAGCAACGCCGCGUGAGUGAAGAAGGUUUUCGGAUCGUAAAACUCUGUUGGUAGAGAAGAGCGUUGGUGAGAGUGGAAGCUCAUCAAGUGACGGUAAACUACCCAG